UACGUAGGGUGCAAGCGUUAAUCGGAAUUACUGGGCGUAAAGCGUGCGCAGGCGGUUAUGUAAGACAGAUGUGAAAUGCCCGGGCUUAACCUGGGAACUGCAUUUGUGACUGCAUGGCUAGAGUGUGUCAGAGGGGGGUAGAAUUCCACGCGUAGCAGUGAAAUGCGUAGAUAUGUGGAGGAAUACCGAUGGCGAAGGCAGCCCCCUGGGAUAACACUGACGCUCAUGCACGAAAGCGUGGGGAGCAAACAGG
rnacentral:rRNA from 1 species